CUCAGCUGGGAGUAGAAUUUGAAGAGGAAACUGUGCUGCUCUGGCAGCUCCCCUGCUGAAUUUCUUGAAGAUAGGAUUUUUCCUUUAGACCUAGAGAUUGUUCUGCUUAUUAAACUACCUCAGCAAGACAGCUUUGUCUUGGGACCUGUUGAGUGGUUUCCCCUUUUCUGCAUAAGGAAUGGAUUGCAUGUGUAUGGAUUGCAUCUGCUAAUUCCUGGUUUGUACUUCAGUGAUGGAUUCCCAAGGCCUGUGCUGUGCUGGUCCUCAAAGGUGAUGGUAUCAUUCUUCUUUACAAUGUAAAUUCAGUAUGCCCUGUACUGACAAUUAGAAAAAGCUGUGCUAAAAUUACAUAUGGAGGAAAGGACCUUGGUCUUCACACAGCAGUACUGAAGUUAGAGCUGUUAGUAACAAAUCAAAUAAAAUCCAUGCUGCCAAGAGAAGAGAGUAUGCUCAUCUUGCUUUCUUCAUGCACUGUGGAAGGUUGUCAGCUGCUUCUUUGAAGUUAACUAAUGAUCAUGCAAGCUGUGAAUCUGUAGUGGGAGCCAGGAUCUCCCUGGUGCUGUAGCAGCACAGCUUCCACGUGCUGGCUCUCUCCUGUUACCUUGUGUGGUGUUAUUCAGGUCCCUUAUUCAUCUGGAAUAGAUCUUGCUGAGGCAGAAAGAGGCCGUGGGAGGACGUUUGAGAGGAAAAGGAGUUGUGUGGUUUCUUCAUCACUCUUGCUGUUAAGCUGAAGCUGUGUUUGCAUCUGGUUCAUACUUAACGUGUCACUACCACCGUGUGAGAGCAGCACCUCCAUGGCAGACAGUUUGGGUUCUAGAGCCAGCUUGGCACAGUACAUUGGGUUUUUUCUUUCCUUUUUUCCUCCCUUUUUCUAAGAAUAACUUCAGG